rnacentral:rRNA from 1 species
UUUUAAAUUGAGAGUUUGAUCCUGGCUCAGGACGAACGCUGGCGGCGUGCCUAACACAUGCAAGUCGAGCGAUGAAACUUCCUUCGGGAAGUGGAUUAGCGGCGGACGGGUGAGUAACACGUGGGUAACCUGCCUCAAAGAGGGGGAUAGCCU